CUGAGGCAAGGAAACCAUGAACCCCGGUUUAUUUUUGGUCACUUGAACAGGGUGGGGCAAAUAGUGAAACCAGCCUUACCUAUA
rnacentral:ncRNA from 1 species